GAGAGGAGACAAUUGGCUGGUCAUCAUCAUAAUUAGUAUGCAUUACAAAGCAGCAGUGUGCUCUGCACCACGUGAGGAAGCUGGAAGAGCGCCCGCCUGUUCAGUGGCCGUCUAACUGAGUGAGACACGGAGAGGAACGAGGGACUGGAAUCACAGGAAGCUAGCACUUACUGCCAACAUUGAUGAACACAUGAACAAACUUGCCUUUUGGCCUGCCACACCCGCUAUCCUGCCCCUAUAUAAACUCCAAACCUCAAGCUUCAGAGUAGACCAGCAGAUCAGCAGACCAGCAGACCAGUGAUGGCAGAACAACGUGGCAGAGAAAGAGAGAAGAGGAGGAACGUCUCGAGGCCGAGGGGAGUUCAGCUGGGGGCAGUUGGAGAAGAGUCCAGCUGCUGGGUGUCCUGACUCCAGGGGAAGAUCACCGUCCCACUCCAUCCCGGCUGCCGGGUCCCAAUCCAUCUCACUGAGAGCCACCUCCACCACUCAAUAAAACCUUGCAGUCAUCCUUUGA